rnacentral:tRNA from 1 species
GUCGGGAUAGCUCAGCUGGUAGAGCANAGGAC